rnacentral:rRNA from 1 species
GACGAACCGUGCGAACGUUGUUCGGAAUCACUGGGCUUAAAGGGUGCGUAGGCGGCCAUGUAAGUGAGGUGUGAAAUCCCUCGGCUCAACCGAGGAACUGCGCUUCAUACUGCAUGGCUUGAGGGAGACAGGGGUAAGCGGAACUGAUGGUGGAGCGGUGAAAUGCGUUGAUAUCAUCAGGAACACCGGUGGCGAAAGCGGCUUACUGGGUCUCUUCUGACGCUGAGGUACGAAAGCUAGGGGAGCGAACGGG